GCCUACGGGAGGCAGCAGUGGGGAAUCUUGCGCAAUGGGCGAAAGCCUGACGCAGCAACGCCGCGUGCGGGAUGACGGCCUUCGUGGUUGUAAACCGCUUUCAGCAGGGACGAAAAUGACGGUACCUGCAGAAGAAGCCCCGGCUAACUACGUGC
rnacentral:rRNA from 1 species